rnacentral:lncRNA from 1 species
CUAGACUUGGAAUCCAAGAAUUAGAAUCACAAAAUUAGAAAAGGCUACAAAUAAAACUAGUUAACCAUUGGCAAGUCGCUAUAUAUAGAGGAUGUUUUUUCUUAUUGCUGAAAUCUGCCCCUCUGCACUUCCUCCUGACUAGUCCUUAUUCUGCUGUCUAGGGAAAAGUGGAAAAAAAUAGGAUCCUUCUUCCCAUGUCAGAGCUUCAGUACUUGAAGUCAGAUCUCCUAUUCCCACUAAGUCUUGUCAACCACAUAUGCAAGCUCUGCUGGUUCCUAAUAAGAUGAGAACAUUUUGUAAUCUGGGUCUGAUGAGAGGCCACAUGUCUAUUUUUCCUCUGCCUAACUAGGUUAAAGGGGAAUGUCAACACUAGACUGGCCGUGAUGAAUUUUUCAGCAACAACCCUUGAGAACUAUCUACUGAGUGAUGUUUCUGCUAUGUUGUUAUGGAACUAAACAUCAUCCUUAUACUGGAAUAUCUCCUGGAGACUUGCAUUCCUGACUUAGAGGGAUAGCGUUGGAAGCAGACAUUGAUCAGCGCCAAGACAUGCUUGCUUUGUGUGAGAUCUCAAACCAUCUCCUCCAGCCAGUGACCCAAAAGGUCUACCAGGCAUUGAAGACAGUUCUUUCUAAGGAGGAAACUACAAGGCAAAAAUUCUCACCGGUUGAAGGUUUAAGAAAGUGUAAUCAUCUGUGAAGCUGGAUUUAUUUUUGUUAUUACAAACUCUGGAAAAAUUGCUGUGAGGGAGAGCGAGAGAGAGAAGAGAGACUUCUUGGAUGAUAAUCAUGUACAGAUAUGCCUCAUUGUUCCAUUUUCCCCUCUAAUACGUGCAGCAAUAAAACUUCAAGACCUAUCUGGUUCCUGUAUUUA